UCGUGUGAUGUGACAGCUGGCAUCGGUUGCGCGAGAUAUACCAAUAAAUUUAAAAUAUUCGAGAAGAUAUGAUGGGAUUAGCUAUUGGUGCUCAUGGUGCAAAUAUAUUCAACAAGCGUGAAAAGUUGAUGACAUUACAAAUAUCGUUAGAAGAAAAUUCAUGCACAUUUAAGACAUAAUAUAGAGAGACGCAUGAAGCUGUUAAAAAAGACUGAUUUAUGCUGGAAUACAGCGAUAACCUAGAAAUAAAUAGAUAGUGACAGUCGUGACCAUCGCCGCGUGAUAGAUAUAGUGAUAUAGUGAAAUAUAUAUUGACGGCAGGGAGCUGAUGCCGAUUUUCUUUAAGAAGGAAGGUGUAUCCAAAAUCGCACACGAACAUUUUAUAUUCAACUACGUGGUAUACAAUUUUGCCGCUAUAUAUUGACCGCAGGAAGCUGAUACCGAAGAGAUCUUUAAGAAGGAAGGUGUAUCCAAAAUUGCACAUGUAUGGGACUUGUGAGUUAUGCGAAGCAAUUGAUACUAUUAAGGUUCAUUGGUCAUAUGAAGUUUGCACACGUCAAGCUUGACAUCCUAAAGAUCACAAUGCAUUCUGAAAACGAUACCGUGCAGGUUCGUUGGCGUAUACGUGGUGUCAUCACAGGCUGGAAGGUAUUUUCUGUGUUUUGGAAGUAAAAUUUGGAAAAUACAACAUGUCAUAAAAUAAGCGCUAACCAGAAAAUGUAAGUGUAA